GGGGCUGUGGCUCAGUGGAAGAGCUCUUGCCUACAACGUGUGAGGCUCUGGGUUCGAUCCCCAGCACCA
rfam:Ictidomys tridecemlineatus contig088380, whole genome shotgun sequence.